rnacentral:rRNA from 1 species
UACGGAGGGAGCUAGCGUUGUUCGGAAUUACUGGGCGUAAAGCGCACGUAGGCGGCUUUGUAAGUUAGAGGUGAAAGCCCGGGGCUCAACUCCGGAACUGCCUUUAAGACUGCAUCGCUUGAAUCCGGGAGAGGUGAGUGGAAUUCCGAGUGUAGAGGUGAAAUUCGUAGAUAUUCGCAAGAACACCAGUGGCGAAGGCGGCUCACUGGCCCGGUACUGACGCUGAGGCACGAAAGCGUGGGGAGCAAACAGG